UACGGGGGGGGCAAGCGUUGUUCGGAAUUACUGGGCGUAAAGGGCUCGUAGGUGGCCAACUAAGUCAGACGUGAAAUCCCUCGGCUUAACCGGGGAACUGCGUCUGAUACUGGAUGGCUUGAGUUUGGGAGAGGGAUGCGGAAUUCCAGGUGUAGAGGUGAAAUGCGUAGAUAUCUGGAGGAACACCGGUGGCGAAGGCGGCAUCCUGGACCAACACUGACACUGAGGAGCGAAAGCCAGGGGAGCAAACGGG
rnacentral:rRNA from 1 species